GCAGCUCGGCUGCGGGGGCAGGGAUGUGCCCUGGGCUGGGACGGAGGGGACUCCGAUCAGGCACAAGGUCACACACUGCUGGGUGAGGUUUGUUUCUCUUUCCAAAUUCUGUGAUAAACCAUGGAAUUUUUUGCUGUGCUGUAGGCCCUUCCCCAUCCCCCUGAGGUGCGGGGUGUUGCUCGCUGGCAGGGAUGGACACUGUUCCCCCGGUUAUGAGGGCUCCCGGCACGUGGCAUGGACAGUCUCCUGCCUCCGGUGAGGAGCAGCACCGGGAAUGUGCCAGGGAGGCUGGGGUGGUUGACGGUGGGACUUUGUCGUGGAGCAGGGACGGGGGGUGUGACGAGAGACCUUUCUGACACCGGACACCGUAUCAUUGUGGGAAUCUUCAGAGAUGGGGAGCAAAUGGACAAAACGAUAGUGUGGACCAGUCGUGGGACAUGUGGCGUAACCACCGGUCCAAAGAGUGUGAACCAUGUUGUGUUGGAAAAUAGCCUGGGCGGCACGGAAAACUUGGAAAAAUGGGAAGUAACUGAACUGAGCGAUCGUGACUUGGAUGGGUGUGCCUGAGGCACGACUCAUUUGCUAGGAAAGCAUAAGUGUCCUUGUACAGGCCUUAUCAACACCCAGAAUUGUGGGUUAUCUUGGCUGUAUUUAUAGGCAAUGUGCUGAUUUUAGUUAUUGGACCUGCUGUGUUAGCAUGGGAAGUUACUGGGGGGUUGUGGAAAAUUACAGCCGAUGGGUGUAAGAACAAAGCACAGGAACUGGUGGUUUGGCAACAGUAUCUUGUUAUAGUCGCGCGAAGCUUUCCUAACACGAAAGGCAUGUAGUUACAAGGACCUAAGAUAAGAUAUGCAUGCUUUCUUACUAACCUAUCAUGAGCUCAGCUUUUGUAAUAUGUAUGAGCUAAUUAGUUGGUAUACCAAUCAGUAUAAUCCACGAUAGUAGUUGUAAUGUAUGUAACAGUAUAAAAGGAUUGUGUAGAGAACAAUAAAGUGGACACUUUGCUUGCAUCAAGUUGCGUCCCCGUCUCUUCAUCGCGGCAAAUGGUGCCCCCCGACGUGAUCUUUGGUGAAGACUCCGCCGGAGGCUGAUAAUCACCUAUCUGGUGGCGUGCUGCGAGUCCCGCAGAACUGGGAACGCUGCUACAAGGAGCAGGGAAAAGCCGGCUACUGAAGUCAUCACCCCCGUCUGGAACGAGAGAGAGAGGUCCUCGCUGGAUCCCGGCAAAGAACAUGAGACCCUUCCGAGAAACAUUGCAACGGCAGUCCUCUGAUAACGCUCCAGAACCUGCGUUCGAUGAGGAGAACGUUGCUCCCGAAUGAAUUCCGUCUCAGAAACAGUACCACAGACCUGGGAAGUAAACCCCGAUAAGUGGGAGGAAACAAAAAGGAGGUGUCGGAAAAAGAGAAACAGAAGGAAGACUAAGAGCCUGCAGGAAUGGGCCGAGUAUUAAUCUUUUUGUUAAGUACUAUAAGCUUAGGUCUUAGCUUUGAUUUACAUCAUGUUGACCCUCAUACUAAUGUGUGGCUCACGUGGGCAAAUCGUACCGGGACCACAGACUUUUGUCUGUCCCUGGCGCAAGUAAGCGAUCCGUUUAGAACAUGUUUAAUUGGGUAUCCAUAUGUACACCUAGACGAUUUUCGAGGUUACGUUAACACCCCUGAUUUGUCGAAUGUACUCAAUUCCUCAUAUUGGCAAUGGAGGAGAAAUAACAGUGACGGAUGGUGUAUAAAAAGUAGCGACUGGCCAGUAGAGCAGGGAGCCAUGCUCCAGCAAGGCUUAAUUCAAAGGCUCAAUUUCUCUAAUCACUUACCGUUUCAGGAACUGACACUUUGGGGCUCCUUCCCUCCACAGGGGGAAUGGGAGAACAUCUCAAAUCGCGAAAAUUGCUCUAAUAUGAGUCCGGAGAUUCUUCCUGUUAACGGGACUGGAGUGGUCUAUUUUGGUGAUAGCUGGACUGGGUAUUUGAUUCGAGAUGGUCACAAAGAGACAUUAGAUUCACUGAUUCAUUAUCAAAACGUGUCAGGUAACUCUGGUCAUUGGAACAUUUCGAUGAAUACAGGGGCUAGAGAUGUGGCCAAUAUCACUGGACAGGUAAGGUUGCCAAAAGGCUAUUUCUUGAUUUGUGGAGAUAGAGCAUGGCCCGGAAUUCCUUUUAAACCUGUGGGAGGACCUUGUUAUAUUGGGAGACUUACGCUGUUCGCACCUCAUAUGAGGGACAUGCUUAAUCGUUCCCUGAGCAAUAGUACCAGAUCAAAAAGGUCAUUGCGACAAUUACAACCAGAUUGCGAUGAUCACGUCAAUUUAGGGUCUUUAGGAUCUACUAUAGCUCUGUCCCUAUUUUUGCCUGGUGGAAUGGCCGCAAGCAAUUGGAAUAAAAUAAAACAAUUGGCAUGCUGGGCUGUCAAAGAAUUUAACACGACCUCUGACAUUUUGUCAGGAUUAGCUCAAGAUGUAGAUAGCUUACGACAUGUAGUCUUACAGAAUCGUGCCGCCAUAGAUUUCCUUUUACUAGCCCACGGACAUGGAUGUCAAGAAUUUGAAGGAAUGUGUUGCAUGAAUCUAUCUGAUCACUCUGUGAGCAUUCAUAAACAGAUUGCAGAACUACGAGAAAGGAUUCACAAUGUGCAGGAAGGAAUGGAUGGACUCGAUGGGUGGCUAGCUUCUUGGGGAAUUACAGGGUGGAUAAAAGAUUUACUUAAACAGGGAAUUUUGAUCCUUUUAGUAAUUUGUGUAUUAUUACUAACGAUUCCAUGUAUUUUGCAGUGCUUACAAAAGUCGAUAACCGCUUCAGUAAAUAAGCUUUUUCUUGUACAAGCACAAGACCUCCCGAAAACUCCCAGUACAGAAGCAAGACGUCCUCGAACUGGUUGGGCGCCGACCUUGGGAAGAAGCAAAUGUUUGAAAACAAAAAGGGGGAGAUGUGGGUUAUCUUGGCUGUAUUUAUAGGCAAUGUGCUGAUUUUAGUUAUUGGACCUGCUGUGUUAGCAUGGGAAGUUACUGGGGGGUUGUGGAAAAUUACAGCCGAUGGGUGUAAGAACAAAGCACAGGAACUGGUGGUUUGGCAACAGUAUCUUGUUAUAGUCGCGCGAAGCUUUCCUAACACGAAAGGCAUGUAGUUACAAGGACCUAAGAUAAGAUAUGCAUGCUUUCUUACUAACCUAUCAUGAGCUCAGCUUUUGUAAUAUGUAUGAGCUAAUUAGUUGGUAUACCAAUCAGUAUAAUCCACGAUAGUAGUUGUAAUGUAUGUAACAGUAUAAAAGGAUUGUGUAGAGAACAAUAAAGUGGACACUUUGCUUGCA